AAUAUCAGUAGAUUCGGUAGAAGAAAGAAAUAUAAUAGCAGCAUUCAAAACAAGAUAAAAACACAAAAAAUUAUAGUGAUAUUUGGUAUGGAGGAGCUUGUAGCUGUUACAUUUUUUUGCAGGAGAUAAAGCAAGGAAACGUACUCAAAUUGAGGCACAAUAGUAUUAGGCUGAGUUUAACACUAUCUUUUUCCAAAUACUGUGGACAGGUACUGCUUACCCAGGGGUUUAAAUGAUGCAAACACGAAAUUGCCAAAUUGUUAACUGCAGUAUGAUUCCUAACUGUGAGAAGGAUGGAAGGUGGCUGCUUGCGUUGCUGAGAGUGUCUGACUUUGUGGCAGGCAGACUGAUAGAAGUUCUGUAAUGCAGGUUAGGUGAGUUGGCACGGGGAUAUGUAUGAUGAAAUAUUGCCCGUAUGGUUUUGUAGCCCUGCUUCACAAUUCUACCAGUAUUUCUGAAGGAGUCAAUGGAGGGCAGUUGGAUACGGUGUACUGCCUCUCCAACAACUGUGAGUCACCGUCAUCACCAUUCGUCUUAUAAAAUGAUGGUGUAGUUCAGUAAGUGGGAAAGUUCCCUUCUGAAGAGGAUGUGAGAAAUGAAAAUAGAAGUUUGCAGAAUAAAGGGAGUUUUCCACUAGAGUCUUACUAGGUUAGGCUGGGUACAUCAGUGUAUUUGUAAAGCAGCAGAAAAAGGUCACAACACUUAAUGACUGACAGGCAAAAUGGCAGAUGAAAUUCUAUGGUAAUAAAUGCAAAAUAAUUUGUUUAGGGAGGAAAAUCAGCUGCAAGUGUAUGUUAUUCAGUGCUAGACUCUACUGUUUACUCUUUGGGGAAAGAGAUCUUGAAAUAGUUGCAGGUAGGUCUACGUAAAAUAGCUCACAUCUAGUCAAAACAACAAAUAAAUUUUAGGAAUAAAUAGGAAGAGGACAGAGAACUAAACAGAAACCAUCACUGACUUGCUUAAGUAUGGGACAGAUUUCUUAUUUGUCACAGGCCAAGAAAAUAAUUAUUCAUUUACUUAAAUACUGACUGGUUUCAUAGGAAGCCAAUCCAUUUAAAAAAGCAGGUCCAAAGGGUGAUGAAAGCAUCAAAAUGUUUCAGUGAAACUUCACCCCUCAAAAAUCAAGUUCGUAAUUAGAAGCCACUUUGUAAAUGGUUUCUCCAAUCCCCUACAGCUGUAGGAUUGACAGACUCCUUAAGCUGGCUAUAAGAAAAAAUUUCAUGAUUGAUUUGUCAUACCAUAACUACCAAGAAACAUCAGGCCUGUAGGAAAAUGGGCUAGUGAGCAACCCACAACACAUACAGAGCUAUUUCUGUAUCUUUCAGCAUGUAAAGUUUUCCCAGUUUGUUGAGUGGGCAAAAAUCCUUAGGGUUUUGGCUUUUUUUGACAUGCAAUGGUAUGUGGUGAUGUCUAACGAUGUUUUACUUUAAAUGUUACAAAUUAACUCUCAAAACCAAUUUGCUGCUGAUGCUUCAUGUACAAAUAAUUUCAAGACAAUAUGAUUCUAUGAUUUCAGUGUUAAUUUUUAUUAAGGAUCAAAGAGAUAGGAUGCAGAGUGAGAAGUGGACACAGGAUUCUGUUGAGAGGGGAACAGAAGUACAUUCUCGUGCAAAUGUCAUACAUAUUAGCCAGCAUUUUAUUAACAGUUACUGUAGCUUUCUUUUCUCAUUCCCAUGCUUUCUGGGGUUUGAAGAGGUGGUCUCAUCUCUCCCCCUCCUUCCUGUGCAAUAAAUAGUUAACAGCAUGGUCAUUUUCAGUGUCCUGAGGCAGUCCUUUGUAUUAACAAUUAAUCAGGAGAGACACCCUCUCAGUUAUUGUUUCAGGCUCUCUUUCUGCAGGCUCACAAAAACGUUCUGGUUCAUGUUUAGCAAUUUCACACUCAGAAGGACUUGGGUUAGCCAGGAGGAUGAAGUUAUUAUUAUUUCCUUAAUGUCAGUGUAGUUCCUGUAGGCUCUGGAAGAACUGAUGAGAAAAGAUACAGUUGGCUUUUCCCGUGUUUGAGAUUUGACCGUUGCACAAAUUUGAACAUAUUCAUCAGUUAGACAAUAUAAAUAUAUGUAAUAUAUCCAUAUAUGUAUAUAUAUAUUGUGACAUCCAUAUCACAUUUUUGUUACUCCCUGUUUUGGAAACACAUUUGGGUGUCCAUUGCAUUAGCAGAAGCGGGAGUAACUCUAUUAGCAUUAUUUCUUUGGAUGGGCAUAGCAACUGCUGUGACAUCAAAUGCAGCUGAAAGCAUCCAAACUAAGGCAAGCUCUGCCAAGAGAGAAAGAAUUGUUAUUGUUGAGCACUGGAUGCCUAACGUGCAACACUUAAACAGCAGCACUAGCUUUUGGGAAAUACUGGUUGACUGGGAAAGAUGUUGCUGGCUUCAAAUGGCAAAUUCCCAUCUCUGUAAGGGCAAAAUGAAAUAUGUGAUGUUUAGAGAGAGAGCUUGUUAUUCCUCCUUCUCAACACAUUUCUAAAUAAGCAGUUUCCUGUUAGAAUGGAUUUCUCAGCUAGGUAUGAUAGAUUUCAUGUGACUGAUCGAAGUAGAGGAAAAUAAAGAGAGGAAAGGGAUCAGAAAGGCUGAUAAGAAUGAGAGUGAUUCAUCCAAUCGCUUAUCAUCCAACUUUGAUUAUAUUUUGCAAUGUACUGUAAAUACCCAUAUGGUACUUUUACGUUUUGGGGGAAUUCUUUGAACUUCUGCUCAACUAACUUCCAUGGAAAUUUGUAUGAAUAAUGGCCUUGGACUUCUUAAUGUGGAAAUAAUUGUCCUCCUGCCAGAUGCCACCUUGUCAGCUUGUCUGGUGCUACCACAGAUUUCUGGCUGUGCUAAGCUAGGCCAGGCUUUGAGAAGAGAAUCUACAUCAGGCUGCCUUACUUGUCCAGUGUACUAAGAAUUGCAUACUUCUGGAAACUGUAAACUUCAUUCCUAGACCUGGACAUGACUGGCCAGCUUCAUCACUGUUGUUCACUCAUUCUUUUUAGUCUCUGCUGAUGUCACUUGGAAUAAAAACCUACCAAGAGAAGUACUUCCCUCCUUGUGUCAAAAUGAUAAAACCAAUAUUUCCAGCAAAUGCUCCCUUGCUUCUUUUGUUUGCUUCUGUUUAUGUAAGCAAUUACCAAGAUGUUGUAAAGGAUAACUCAUAAUUGGGAGUCUGGGGAUGUACUGUUUUCCCUUUGAAAUAUGAAAAACGUAGAUGUUGCUUCUGGCACUGUGCUAAGUGGUAGGCCAUGCUUCUCGUUGUGGGAGCAUGAGCAGGGUAGGCAAAUGGUAGCAGACAGGUGGUGAGCAGCAUGGAUCUGGUAGCAGCAGUGAUUGCAGUGCUUCCCUUCAGGGCCAUCAAAAGCCCUCAUGUAACUAGUCAAGAAACAGCCAUGUAUCAAUGAAAUAAAGCCAGAGUAUAAUUAAACAAUAAAGCAUGACAAACUGCAUUUCCAGGGAAUUACAACAUGCCUUGGGUGGAGUUAUAAGGCAUGAGGCCAAAGGUUGGAUGGCUUUAAUCACCCAAGACACACAGAAUGCCGACAGUGCUGGAGAAAGGGCGAGUGGGAUGGUCUGGUCUGAUUUCUGCAGUCAGCUUAGAAACCAAGUGUUGAUGUUAUCCUGUUUGGGUACAGACCUAUCUGUAGCUCUUGUGUGCUUUUUGCUGUGCGUGGCUCAACUGCUCAGCUUCUACAAGUGAGGCUAGCACAUGCAAGCACCUGAGCAGGUCUGAGGGUGGGACAGGAAGUUUUACCCCAGAUUCAGGCAGUUUUUUCCAGCCUCUGUGCCAGGGCUGGGAUUUCCAUGAGGAAAGCUCAAAGUAAUGAGAGCAGCUGUCAACUCUGGUACGAGGAGCAAGGAACCAAUCAGAUGAGAGGAAGCUCCGGGUGCUAGGGCUGGGGAGCCCUGAGGUGACAUUUCUGUCAGCUCAGUCCCAGACAGUCAAGCCUGGGACUUGGCAUGGGGAUGAGCUGGAAGCCCGAGUGACUUUGUCCGUAUGUACUUUCGUACAGGGGGCCGUGAGAUUUCCAGGAGCUGUGGGUGGGAUGGCCAGCUGCUUCCUCUUCCUGCUGAUCUUCUCCAAGUGACCUCUGAAGGAUCUGAAGCAUUACCCCAGAGGUAGGUGUGAGGCGAUGCUUGCAGGUGCAGCGUUUCUCAUACCCCAUAUUCUUCCUUUUAGAUUCUGGCAUUUGGCUGGAGAGGUACAAGGCUGCUGAGACAGAAGAAUUCUGCUGGGUAUCAGGAUAAGAGGUGCUCAUAUAUGAAAAUUUUGGCCAAACAUCUGUUGGGAUGUAAAUACAGAAGGAGUAUUUGCCUGCUGGCUGCAUUACCUGUGUAGGAACAAGAAGGCAGAUGGGAGUGUUCUGUUACGCAUAACAGGACUCAGGCUUCCCUUAAUGACCUCAUCCUGCUAACCCUGAAAAGGAAAUCCAAAGACCAUCUGCCAGAAGGAAACCCAGGUCAAAAUGAAGUGGUGGCAUGCGACAGCAGGUCCCAUGCACAGCAGGAGGAGCAGAACGGAGACAAGUGUUAUGCAGGGUCCUACGCCAAAUUUGGACAGGGGGAAUGUAAGGUCUGAUGGGAUUUCUCUCCUGUCUUCUUUAUGUGCCCACGACAUCGGCUGUUAGAAGUGAUCUAAGAAUUGGGAAUGCUCAGACACAAAAAGAAAAAAGAAUAAUUGACACAAUGUGCAAUCGAUCUCUGGGCACCAGCGUUGCAGGAUAUUACAAGUACGAAUAGCAGACAGUUGGCUGAAAGACUGAGAAGACUGCCAGACACCAAUAUUAAAUGAAAAUGUCAUCUAGGUCUCAUUAUGGACUUUCCAAGAAGUGGAGAAAUACAAACUAUAUACUGAAACCAUCAUUCCUCUCCAAGUGUUGGAAGCUCCCUUGCUGAGACGUGCAUCCACUGCCACUUAGUCUUUUGAUGUUCCAAGAACAGUCUCUCUGCGACCACACAUUAGAGAUCUGGAGUUUGUCCACUAUUUCCUGCAGAGGAACAUUAGUAAAAAUCAUCCAGAGGAUCCCAGUGAAGGAAACUGCAUUUUGAUGUUAUUGAGAGGAGACAUUGUGGUGGAUAACUGGUAGUGCAAGACUACAAGUACUGGGCAGAAAAUUUAAGAGAAAGGGUAUUCAUCCUAGUUUAAAUUUAGCCAUCUGGAGAGUGUAAGCACAAAUGGGAAAUGGGGAGAAAAUGUUGCCCUUCUUUCUUUCUCUGGUGGAUAACAAGUUUGUCAAGCCUGUCCUGGUGAGACCAUCCAGUCCUGGGUGUGGAGCUUGAUCCUCCUCAGAUGUCAGUAUGACCACAUCCCUAUCCUGUUUUCCAGAGUCUUCCGGUGUUGGAAGAUGACCUGGUUCUGGCAGAGAAAUCAGCGUUGUCAAGUUGAGGAUGUGACCCACUACAUGCAUUUACUUUAAAUGAAACAAACGUUUUCUUCUACAAACACAGGAUGUACCAGCAUGUGUGUAAAGUAUUUAUAUUACCCUGUGCCUUUCCACUGGCAUCAGUAGAAGUUCUGGGUUGGCCUCUUCUCUCUUGUAACUAGUGAAAGGACAAGGGGGAAUGGCCUCAAGUUGCACCAGGGGAGACUUAGGCUGAACAUUAGGAAAUACUACUUUUCUGAAAGAGUGGUCAGGCGCUGGA